UACGUAGGGACCAAGCGUUGUCCGGAAUCAUUGGGCGUAAAGAGCGUGUAGGCGGCUUGUUAAGUCUUGCGUGAAAUCUCGGGGCUCAACCCCGAGCGGUCGUGAGAAACUGGCAGGCUAGAGUGCGGGAGAGGAGAGUGGAAUUCCUGGUGUAGCGGUGAAAUGCGCAGAUAUCAGGAAGAACACCCGUGGCGAAGGCGGCUCUCUGGAACGCAACUGACGCUGAGACGCGAAAGCGUGGGGGAGCAAAACAGG
rnacentral:rRNA from 1 species